GGAAAGGCGAGGCUCUGCAUCUAGAUUUACCUCGUUCUCUUUUGUCUCCGCUUUUUUUUCACAUUUCCUUGCGACCCUGGCCCUUGAGCGACAAAAAGGGGAAGCCAAGGCUGGCCCGAGGAACGGAGAGGGCACAUGGCCUAGCCACAAGUGGAGCUUCUGCUCCGCCCGAAGGGAUGCGCUGGAGCGGCCUCUUCCUUCUGCCACGGUCUUUCUUUGCCAACUAGUAGGCUCCGGCAUGACGGGUGACUUCUUCCGAGUCUGGCUUCUGCAGCACACAGGGCUUCGCCAGCACCCAGCUCCUGCAGCAUGGGCAGCUCCUGUGACAGCAGGCGCCCGCAGCCUGCAAAGCGUCUCCAGUGCCGCCGCCUCAGUGAACCUCAACCAGCGGCACCUAGCAGCUUUCUCUGCCACCCUCUUCAGGUAGUUCUGUAGCAGCGCGUUUCUCAUGAGACACUUCCCUGUGAGCAGCUUUUUCUACCCUUGAGGAUGGAUUUCCAGCAAAUUCUGCCCAUGUGGUACCACAGCCACUUCUCUGCCAUUCAGUGAAACUGCCGUUGUGCCCUCUUCAAGGUCUGGAUCUAAGCCCAGGGACCAGGAAACCUCUUGCUUGAGUGCUGGAACUCAGGCCAGAAGGUAUGGCUGCUGCUAUGUGCUGUGACCAGAGAAUCAGAGUUCUCUUUACUUCUUAC
rnacentral:lncRNA from 10 species